rnacentral:rRNA from 1 species
UACGUAGGUGGCAAGCGUUGUCCGGAAUUACUGGGUGUAAAGGGAGCGCAGGCGGAACUGCAAGUUGGGUGUUUAAUCUACGGGCUCAACCCGUAUCAGCAUUCAAAACUGUGGUUCUUGAGUAAUGCAGAGGUAGGCGGAAUUCCCGGUGUAGCGGUGGAAUGCGUAGAUAUCGGGAGGAACACCAGUGGCGAAGGCGGCCUACUGGGCAUCAACUGACGCUGAGGCUCGAAAGCAUGGGUAGC